rnacentral:rRNA from 1 species
UGGCUUGCCGCUAUCCCACUGCAAGCAGUAAGCUAGUCACAUAUCCAAAGCUAAGCAGUGUCAGGCCAGGUUAGUAUUUGGAUGAGAGAUCUAGUAGAAAAAUCCACCCGCCUGGUGGUGAAUCAC